rnacentral:tRNA from 1 species
CGGUGACUCAGUAGUAAAAGAAUCUGCCUGCAAUGCAGGAGACGCAGGUUCGAUCCCUGCUUG